rnacentral:lncRNA from 1 species
CGAUGGCUCUACUCUUCGGGAGUCUGGAGCCCACUGUAACAACCACACACAGUUACGAGGACAGUCUCCUUCCCGCUGCUCCUACCUCGUUACAUAUACAUAUGGAACACAGCAUAAAACGUUUUUUGAUAUUAAUAUAUUAAAUUAAUAUGAAGCUUAUCGCCUCUAGACAUCAAAAUGAGAACGGAGGGUAGCCGUCAAC